GUUAAUGAGUAAAUCAUCCUGAAUGCACCCAGCAUCUUUGUUUCUCAUAAGCUAUGCGGGCUUGAGUCUGUUCAGUAUUUGGAUGGGAGGCUGCCUGGGAAUGCCAGAUGUUGCA
rnacentral:rRNA from 1 species